ensembl:lncRNA LINC01757 long intergenic non-protein coding RNA 1757
CCGCCCUGCCCCGUGAACCCUCUCCGCUGCCGCCUCCCCUCGCCCACCUCGACGGCCAUGUUCGUGGGUGGGGAGAGGCCAGCCCGACCCUCGGACGGCGGGACUCGCGGGCUACUUUAGGGUUACCAAUGAUCCUGAUCUGCCCAAGGCUGAGGAGUUUCCCAGGAUAUGGGACUUUCACUGCUAAAACCAGGAUAGUCCCAUGCAAAGCAGCAUGGCUGAUCACCCUACUUGCUGCCAUGAGACUACCACCAUCCUCGAGGAUGAUAGAUCCCAAGGAGAGAGUGACCCAGUCAACAUCCAGCCCCAUCAGCAUGUGACUUAUCCAGCCCCAGUCCAGUCACCAGAUAAUAGCAAAUGCAUGAGUUAAUUCAGGUGAGACCAUCAGAACGAUCUAGCUGAACUUGUCUCAAAUUGCUGUCCUCUGUUGGAGUUUUUCUGCACAUAAAAAAUAAAAUUGCUGUCCUACAUAACUGUAAA